UGUAAGAGCUGGAACAUGAGCUCAGAGCAGGAGUUUUAGAAAAUGGGGUGGGUGAAAAGAGAGAUUCUCCAUCCUGGGCUGUGUUUGGGGAGAAAACAGGGCUGGCAGAGUGGCCAAGAAGGGCAGAGAGCUGAGUUAUUUUUCUAACACCCUUUCUGACCACCUCUGCUUACUAUGGUGAUUGAUUGAUGAUUGACUGAUUGACUUUCAGAUUUAAAGGAUUUAUCUUUUCCCCCCAGAAGAGCAGAGAGCUGCCAGCAGGGCUGGCACCCCCAGCAGUCAAACAGCUCAGCCAGGCUGUGUAAGAGGAGCAGGGAAGGAUUUAAACUGGAGGCAGCAGUGAAAUCAGGUGACAGAUGGACUUAAAAAUGUGCAACUCGUCACCAGGGCCAGAGUGACCCUGCCCAUCAGCACUGCUGUGUGCAAGGGAAUUCUUGGAUGAAAACAGCACCACUAACAGCUAUGGAGAGGGGAGAGGAAGAGAUACAAACAUUUCCAGCGUUGUAAAGUACAGCCAGCCUCAGGUCAGGUAUUUCCUCCUCAGGUUAGAUAUUUCCUCCUGCUGUUAAUCCAUUGUUUAAAUCAAAUUGGUCACAAAUCUAGAUAAUCUCAUUCAAAAUUAGGGUGAUAUAAAACCUGAUUCCUUGAAUCCCUUCAUUAUACUUCUAUUACAUUUUUGGUCUGUGAUCUUUCAAUUUCAGCAAUAAUUUCCCAAUACUGCAUUUCCAGUGUUCCACGUGACCUCUUACAUCCAAAAAGCUGC